rnacentral:rRNA from 1 species
AACGACUCUCGGCAACGGAUAUCUCGGCUCACGCAUCGAUGAAGAACGUAGCAAAAUGCGAUACUUGGUGUGAAUUGCAGAAUCCCGUGAACCAUCGAGUUUUUGAACGCAAGUCGCGCCCGAAGCCAUUUGGCCGAGGGCACGUCUGCCAGGGCGUCAC